rnacentral:sRNA from 1 species
AAGUCUUGCCAAAGAGUUUUAUUUUCCCAGAUGAUAUGGUGGAUUGUUUCUCUCCUCUUUCCUACCCUGCUUAUGUUGACCGUACAAAUUUCCCAUUACUUUUACAGUCUGACCUAUCAACCCUUCGAACAGCAUUUGCUGAGCCUAACAGCCACCCUCGGUCCUACUAGCAAACGAGGCGCCUGACAGAGGCGAGCUUAGCUCACGUUUUGUCUAUCCCACUUCCCACGGUUAUAAUACCGACACCGUACUUCACUCAUUUCCCCCCUUAACGCCAGGCAGCUAGAGGAGGCAAGACACCCCCAGGAUCACAGUUCUUCAUGCAUUCUGCCACACUCAUGGGUCAUACAACAAAGAAUGACUUAGCAACCCGAAAGCUUGCAGGGCGAUUCCACGAGUUUAUGGAACACACGUACAUGAACACACGUUGCAAACUCAGUCCGUACGGUGCAGAAGCAAUGCUUUCUCUCUUUCUCUAGGCCCAGAUUAGCACCUCAUCCUCUGCAGUCCUCUUGCUUUUAGCCACGAGCCUGUAUGGAUGGGAGUGAAACAAGUCUCAUAUGGAUGCUGCUGUUUUCACAGGAAGCUGAGAAGCCUGACCUCACUGUCAUCUUCUUGUUGGUGUCCGAAGGAAAGAGGAGUCAGAAGCACCAACAAUUAUCAUCUCCAGUGACAGCCCAAGAUAGCAGAAGG